UACGUAGGCAGCGAGCGUUGUUCGGAGUUACUGGGCGUAAAGGGUGUGUAGGCGGUUGUUUAAGUUUGGUGUGAAAUCUCCCGGCUCAACUGGGAGGGUGCGCCGAAUACUGAAUGACUUGGAGUGCGGGAGAGGAGAGUGGAACUCCUGGUGUAGCGGUGAAAUGCGUAGAUAUCAGGAGGAACACCGGUGGUGUAGACGGCUCUCUGGACCGUAACUGACGCUGAGACACGAAAGCGUGGGUAGCAAACAGG
rnacentral:rRNA from 1 species